rnacentral:RNase_P_RNA from 1 species
AAACGCAUGGUAAACCCCACCGGGAGCAAAACCGAAUAGGGAUGGCCGGAUGGGGCGCCUCGGCGCUGCCAUCGGACGGGUUUUCGCGUCGCUAUCCGGGUUGGUUGCUCGACGCAGUCAGUAAUGGCUGUGCUAGAUGAAUGAUCAUCCAGAGGCAGCAAUGCCUUGGACAGAACCCGGCUUACAGGCCAUCUGGCGGC